GACGAACGCUGGCGGCGUGCUUAACACAUGCAAGUCGAACGAAGAGCGAUGGAAGCUUGCUUCUAUCAAUCUUAGUGGCGAACGGGUGAGUAACGCGUAAUCAACCUGCCCUUCAGAGGGGGACAACAGUUGGAAACGACUGCUAAUACCGCAUACGAUCUAAUCUCGGCAUCGAGGAUAGAUGAAAGGUGGCCUCUACAUGUAAGCUAUCACUGAAGGAGGGGAUUGCGUCUGAUUAGCUAGUUGGAGGGGUAACGGCCCACCAAGGCGAUGAUCAGUAGCCGGUCUGAGAGGAUGAACGGCCACAUUGGGACUGAGACACGGCCCAGACUCCUACGGGAGGCAGCAGUGGGGAAUCUUCCGCAAUGGACGAAAGUCUGACGGAGCAACGCCGCGUGAGUGAUGACGGCCUUCGGGUUGUAAAGCUCUGUUAAUCGGGACGAAAGGCCUUCUUGCGAUACCG
rnacentral:rRNA from 1 species